UUAUGUCAAUAUGAAUAAUUGAAAUGUUACGUCAAGCUGAGAAAAGCACAGUGCCAGUAGGUGGUCUUAAAAUUUUAGAUAUUGCCGUGCCUGCAUAGUUUUAUGGUGUCUUGUAUGGGCAGACUUCAUAUGGAUCGUUAUCGAGAUUUUAUGAACUAUCGCACACCAGCCAAAUUAAUACUGGCCAAUUGACUGACUGCUUGAGAUUGAUUUAGCCCGAAAAUCCAUUAGAAAUGGUUAGGUCGGCUAGAUUAUUCGCAAUAUCAUCCCGGCUUCGUUGUUGAUGAUUCUCGUGCAAUGGAAGAUGAUGCUUCGACCACCAAACGAAUCGACAUAUUUCAUCAAAAUUCUUAGAACACAGCUCAUUAAAUACAACGCAAUUAAAUAACAGCAUAUUAAAUAAUAAAGAAAAAAU